GGGAAUAUUGCACAAUGGGCGAAAGCCUGAUGCAGCGACGCCGCGUGAGGGAUGACGGCCUUCGGGUUGUAAACCUCUUUCAGCAGGGAAGAAGCGAAAGUGACGGUACCUGCAGAAGAAGCGCCGGCUAACUACGUGCCAGCAGCCGCGGUAAUACGUAGGGCGCAAGCGUUGUCCGGAAUUAUUGGGCGUAAAGAGCUCGUAGGCGGCUUGUCACGUCGGAUGUGAAAGCCCGAGGCUUAACCUCGGGUCUGCAUUCGAUACGGGCUAGCUAGAGUGUGGUAGGGGAGAUCGGAAUUCCUGGUGUAGCGGUGAAAUGCGCAGAUAUCAGGAGGAACACCGGUGGCGAAGGCGGAUCUCUGGGCCAUUACUGACGCUGAGGAGCGAAAGCGUGGGGAGCGAA
rnacentral:rRNA from 1 species